rnacentral:rRNA from 1 species
UACGUAGGUGGCAAGCGUUGUCCGGAAUUAUUGGGCGUAAAGCGCGCGCAGGUGGUUUCUUAAGUCUGAUGUGAAAGCCCACGGCUCAACCGUGGAGGGUCAUUGGAAACUGGGGAACUUGAGUGCAGGAGAGAAGAGUGGAAUUCCCGGUGUAGUGGUGAAAUGCGUAGAUAUCGGGAGGAACACCAGUGGCGAAGGCGGCUUCCUGGCCUGUUCUUGACGCUGAGGCGCGAAAGCUAGGGGAGCAAACGGG